UACGUAGGUGGCAAGCGUUGUCCGGAUUUACUGGGUGUAAAGGGCGUGCAGCCGGAGAGACAAGUCAGAUGUGAAAUCCACGGGCCCAACCCGUGAACUGCAUUUGAAACUGUUUCCCUUGAGUGUCGGAGAAGUAAUCGGAAUUCCUUGUGUAGCGGUGAAAUGCGUAGAUAUAAGGAAGAACACCAGUGGCGAAGGCGGAUUACUGGACGAUAACUGACGGUGAGGCGCGAAAGCGUGGGGAGCAAACAGG
rnacentral:rRNA from 1 species